GACGGAGGAUGCAAGCGUUAUCCGGAAUGAUUGGGCGUAAAGCGUCCGCAGGUGGCAGUUCAAGUCUGCUGUCAAAGACCGGGGCUUAACUUCGGAAAGGCAGUGGAAACUGAACAGCUAGAGUAUGGUAGGGGCAGAGGGAAUUCCUGGUGUAGCGGUGAAAUGCGUAGAGAUCAGGAAGAACACCGGUGGCGAAGGCGGCCUGCUGGGCAGUGGCUGACACUGAGGCGCGACAGCGUGGGGAGCAAACAGG
rnacentral:rRNA from 1 species